GACGUAGGAGGCGAGCGUUGUCCGGAUUCAUUGGGCGUAAAGGGCUCGUAGGCGGCCAACUAAGUCAGACGUGAAAUCCCUCAGCUUAACUGGGGAACUGCGUCUGAUACUGGAUGGCUUGGAUUCGGGAGAGGAAUGCGGAAUUCCAGGUGUAGCGGUGAAAUGCGUAGAUAUCUGGAGGAACACCGGUGGCGAAGGCGGCAUUCUGGACCGAUAUUGACGCUGAGGAGCGAAAGCCAGGGGAGCAAACGGG
rnacentral:rRNA from 1 species